AAACUUCUGAUUGAUCUCUUGUUAUAUUGCAAAUAUUUUAAAUAAAUUUCAAUAAUUUAUUUCAAAAUUUAUAAAAUUUCAAAAUUUCGCCGCGUCUUUAAGUACUUGGCGCAGUCGUUUGCCUCACGUCUUGCACUUAUAGAUGCUUUAGCCCUACGAAUAUUUAACAAAUAUUACAAAUUUAAACAUUGUCCGUUGUCGUAGCAUUAAUGAGAGAGAGAGAGAGAGGUUAUCAUCAUUGUGUUAAUAUUAAUCCCUGCUGUAUACUAUUAACUUAUGUGAAAUGUCCCCUUUUUAUUUGUUCAGUUCUUCUUCCUCAAGCGAUCAUGGUUCAGCCGUUCAGAGACUGUCCAUUAGUUUGCACAGUGUUUUUAUUAAUGCACAAUUCUUUUUUUAUAGAUGAUUGCAGCCACAAUUUACUACAGCCAUAAUGAGACUAACAGGCUUAAUAAAUUUCAUACUUUUUCGAGAUAUAACGUUAUGUUAUCUGGAAAAAGAAACAUUUCCG
rnacentral:lncRNA from 1 species